CUCAGUCUUAGCGGGGAAAAAUGCAGAAUUAAAUGGUCAGUCAUGCCUAGCAAAAUCGUUAGUCACAAGGCUGCGGUAUGUUCCUUGCUGAGGAGCUGGGAGCUCAUUCAGGCACUUUUCUGAAAUCUCUUCAGUAGGAGGGAGAUGUAGAAAAGUGCAGGGGAGUAGUGGGAGCUUGCCACAAGGAUUGCUCCUCUGCUGCACCUUUCCUAGGCAUCUUAGCACCGAUUCAGACACUUGCGCUAGCUGGCACUCCUACGAUAGAGCUCUUUCUAGUUUUGCGUUUUUGCUAAUUUACUCACCCUGACGUUAUCUCGGAGCUGACGUGCAGUGAAAAGAUAACGACGGACGCACAGACUGAGUCCUCUUCCCGCCGCCCCUCUCGCCAGCUCACUUCCAGCGCUGGCGUUGUUCCAGAGCGACGUGAGGAACGUCAAUGCUGAUCAAAGAACAACCAGGGGGUGAGGAGGAUGCGGCUUCCCUGCUUGUUCCUGGAGGGGGCUGCCGAGCUGCAGGGGCAGGACAUGGAGCCCAUCAGGGUGCAGCAGCUGCGGUUUCAUAUCCUCUGUGAUUCCUAGCCUGACUGUAACAUCAACCUGGCACCGCACCACAUAACGUUGAUUUUUCCACCCCUCCACCUCUGUAUUUACAUUUAUUCAUACACCCUGUUUUUCAUGCACCUUCGCCAUGUCUGGUAUUACUUUCCUCACGAAUUAAGGAUCAUCGAUGGAAAACAUUGUGUAUUUUUUGCCCAGAGGCAGAGGAAGCACUCUGUUCCAGACUCUCAGCUUGCAUGGAGCUGGGAUGUUUUGAAAAAUUGUUUCUUAUUUUGGACUGACUUCGGAUGGAGCUUGUGAUUCUCCGGGAUGACCUCUCUGCAGAGUGCAGAGAUGCUGCCAUGUGUGGUUAAAAUGUGACAUGCCUGAAAUAGUUCCUCCAGGCGAGCUGUGGGAUGCAGCCUCCCUCGGUCCUGGUGCGGCGCCAGCCGCCUGUUCUGCGCAUCGCGGCCGGGCCCUGAGAGAGAGAGAGCGGCGUACCCCAGCUCGCCUUUUGCAGGACAUCCUUUGUGCUGCGGACAGAUGACCUGCGACUGUUCCAAAAAGGAUGUCAGAUUGCCUGGGGACGUGCUUUGGGGUUACUGCCCAGAUAAAAGCUCGUAGCUUCCUUUACUCAAAAGCUGAUGAUAAUUGCACUCUGCUUUUGCAAGCCAUGUUUAUCAGCACUUUCUCCUCUUUAACUUAGUGGUAGACACAAGCUUGGUUGCCAGCUUUGGGAAAAGAGAAAAAAAAAAAAAAGUCAUCUGCAUGCAGCUCAUGGGGACCUCCUGGCAGCCUCAGCUAUUUGGGUGUCGAAAUAGCCUGUGCCACGCAUGCAGCCAGGUGGUUCUCAAUCUGCUGGACAUGAGUGUGCACUGGAAUGGUUGGAAAAGGUAAAAACCAGGACUGUGCUUGAGCCGCCUCACUCUCAACAGGCCCCUCGUGCUGGGCUGGAGAAGACAUCCCGAGGAUGUACCAGCAGCCAGGAGAACCGCUGUCAUCAUCAGGACGGAGUUGGAGCUGUGUGUGUGAUGUCAAGAUGGAUGGACGGAUCUGAAGUUUAAUAAUUUUAGGCAUUCUUUAGGAUAAUAUUUUAAUUCUGUUUGGUUGGUAAUUAUUACGUGUUGGCACUUAAACACCUAUGCUGAACUUGAAAUAUUUUAUAGUUAUUUCACAGCUAGAUUCGCCCCAUACGUGUAUAUGAGCUGUUUGCUUGUACCCAUUUAUUCAGACUGAACUUCCACACCUGCUCUGUGAUGUAAUGGAAGAAACAGUUCUGGACUGGGCUCUUACACAACGAUUUGUCUUGAGCUAUGUUUGGAAACUGGAACUCAACAAAAAUGCACUAAUUGAUUUUCUCAUUAAAUGGCGCUACUUGUAGUCAGCAUGUUUUGCAUCUAAAGUUGACUUUAGUGCUAUCUUAGUUUUCCAUUAAUGAAUUGGAUGUUUUGCUCUUGCUGUUAUUUUUCAGCUUGGAUUUCAAUGACUGCAGAAUUUUGAAUCCUGUAAUCUCAUCUCUACUUUUAUUUUUAAUUUAUCAGCUGUAAGAGGAAAACAAGUUUCCUGUGUUUUUUUUUUUUUUUUUUCCAAAUCCCAUUUGGUCUUUUUAACUCUGAACAAACUACUUCCUGUGCUGAAUAAGAUGUAUAAUUGGAAAUAAUAGAAAAACUUUUCUCUGCACCUGCAAAAAAGAGGCACAGCACAAAUCAGCCUUGGCUCCGAGAAGCUCCAGGUGCUUACUGACUGCCCUGCUUCAGGUGUCUCAGUUUUCCAACUUUUGGCAGCAGUCCUGUAUUGCUUGAUAUCGGUCUUUUUGUAAAGAGAAACAGAAACAAAAUAAUAAAAAGCAAAUGUUCAUAAAUUGGUUUUAAAAGCUAAUUAAACUUUAAUACUUUGUUUG